rnacentral:rRNA from 1 species
GAUGAACGCUGGCGGCGUGCUUAACACAUGCAAGUCGAACGGAGAUUACGGACGGAAGUUUUCGGAUGGAAGUUUGUAAUUCUUAGUGGCGGACGGGUGAGUAACGCGUGGGCAACCUGCCCUAUACAGGGGGAUAGCAGCUGGAAACGGCUGGUAAGACCGCAUAAGUCGGUUAAAUCGCAUGAUUUGAUCGGGAAAUGAGCAAUCAGGUAUAGGAUGGGCCCGCGUCCGAUUAGCCAGUUGGCAGGGUAAAGGCCUACCAAAGCAACGAUCGGUAGCCGGACUGAGAGGUCGGACGGCCACAUUGGGACUGAGACACGGCCCAAACUCCUACGGGAGGCAGCAGUGGGGGAUAUUGCACAAUGGAGGAAACUCUGAUGCAGCGACGCCGCGUGAGUGAAGAAGUAUUUCGGUAUGUAAAGCUCUAUCAGCAGGGAAGAUGAUGACGGUACCUG